rnacentral:tRNA from 1 species
AGAAUUUUAGUUAAAAAUAUAACAUCUAAUUUGCAUUUAGAAAUUGUUUAAUCAACAAAUUUUA